rnacentral:tRNA from 1 species
GUGGUUGUGGCUCAGAGACAGAGCACUUGCCUAGCAUACGUGAGGCACUGGGUUCAAUCCUCAGCACCACA